CUUAAGAAUGCGUGCCUGCUGUAAAUAUGGACAAAUAGAAACAGUAGGUUUUAAUUGGGCAUCUGAUGAGCGUAGGGUGCCCAUAAUUACCUACAUAUAUUA